UACGUAGGGAGCAAGCGUUGUCCGGAAUCAUUGGGCGUAAAGCGCGCGUAGGUGGCUUCGUAAGUCCGCUGUGAAAGUCAAAGGCUCAACCUUUGAAAGCCGGUGGAUACUGUGAAGCUAGAGUACGGAAGAGGCGAGUGGAAUUCCUGGUGUAGCGGUGGAAUGCGCAGAUAUUCAGGAGGAACACCAAUAGCGAAGGCAGCUCGCUGGGACGUUACUGACACUGAGGCGCGAAAGCGUGGGGAGCGAACAGGA
rnacentral:rRNA from 1 species